rnacentral:lncRNA from 1 species
GUUCAUGGGACCGAUGCCAGCUGGGUGUUUCUGCCUGACUGGGUGUCCAGCACUGGGGGAAGAUGUAGGAAAAGGAGACUCCAUCGUCUUUCCCCGGGCGCAGGAAGUUUAUGUGUAUGAGGCAGAGUAACCCAAGGAUGCCAAGGAUCCAAAUGAGAGUGAAAGCGGAAUACCUGGUUAUCCGGAGGUCACUGUCUCCACACAGAGUGGUGUCCUUGAUGCUAGCUUGGGGCAAAGAAGCCAGGCCAGCUUGUGGUUGCAAUAGGAAUAGAAGAGACUUCCUUACUCCAAUCCCACCCUACCCCCUCAUCCUGCCUCAACCAGUCAUGCAGAGAGAUGCUGAAUGGCUGCCUGCUCUCAGGGGAAUGAUUUGUGGAGGUUUAAUUAAAAUAAUUUAAUCAAUCAA